GACGAACCGUGCGAACGUUGUUCGGAAUCACUGGGCUUAAAGGGCGCGUAGGCGGCUUGCCAAGUCAGUGGUGAAAUCCCGCAGCUUAACUGCGGAAGUGCCUUUGAUACUGGCGAGCUCGAGGGAGGUAGGGGUAUGUGGAACUUCUGGUGGAGCGGUGAAAUGCGUUGAUAUCAGAAGGAACGCCGGUGGCGAAAGCGACGUACUGGACCUCUUCUGACGCUGAGGCGCGAAAGCUAGGGGAG
rnacentral:rRNA from 1 species